GACGAAGGGGGCUAGCGUUGUUCGGAAUUACUGGGCGUAAAGCGCGCGCAGGCGGCCUUUCAAGUCAGGGGUGAAAGCCCGGAGCUCAACUCCGGAAUUGCCUUUGAAACUGUCAGGCUCGAGUACGGGAGAGGUGAGUGGAAUUCCCAGUGUAGAGGUGAAAUUCGUAGAUAUUGGGAAGAACACCGGUGGCGAAGGCGGCUCACUGGCCCGUUUCUGACGCUCAGGCGCGACAGCGUGGGGAUCAAACAGG
rnacentral:rRNA from 1 species